rnacentral:rRNA from 1 species
UACGUAGGGGGCAAGCGUUGUCCGGAUUUAUUGGGCGUAAAGAGCGUGUAGGCGGCCAGAUAGGUCCGUUGUGAAAACUCGAGGCUCAACCUCGAGACGCCGAUGGAAACCAUCUGGCUAGAGUCCGGAAGAGGAGAGUGGAAUUCCUGGUGUAGCGGUGAAAUGCGCAGAUAUCAGGAAGAACACCCGUGGCUAAGGCGGCUCUCUGGAACGGUACUGACGCUGAGACGCGAAAGCGUGGGGAGCGAACAGG